rnacentral:rRNA from 1 species
AUAAGCGGAGGAAAAGAAACCAACCAGGGAUUGCCUCAGUAACGGCGAGUGAAGCGGCAACAGCUCAAAUUUGAAAUCUGGCCCUAGGCCCGAGUUGUAAUUUGCAGAGGAUGUUUCUGGCGAGGUGCCUUCCGAGUUCCCUGGAACGGGACGCCAUAGAGGGUGAGAGCCCCGUACGGUUGGUCGCUAAGCCUCUGUGAAACUCCUUCGACGAGUCGAGUAGUUUGGGAAUGCUGCUCUAAAUGGGAGGUAUACGUCUUCUAAAGCUAAAUACCGGCCAGAGACCGAUAGCGCACAAGUAGAGUGAUCGAAAGAUGAAAAGCACUUUGAAAAGAGGGUUAAAUAGUACGUGAAAUUGUUGAAAGGGAAGCGCUUAUGACCAGACUUGGACCGGUUGAUCAUCCAUCGUUCUCGGUGGUGCACUCUGCCGGUUCAGGCCAGCAUCAGUUCGCCCCGGGGGAUAAAGGCUUUGGGAAUGUGGCUCUUCGGAGUGUUAUAGCCCACUGCGUAAUACCCUGGGAUGGACUGAGGUUCGCGCUCCGCAAGGAUGCUGGCGUAAUGGUCAUCAGUGACCCGUCUUGAAACACGGACCAAGGAGUCGUCUUCGUAUGCGAGUGUUCGGGUGUCAAACCCCUACGCGUAAUGAAAGUGAACGUAGGAGAGAGCUUCGGCGCAUCUCCGACCGAUCCUGAUGUUCUCGGAUGGAUUUGAGUAAGAGCAUACGGGGCCGGACCCGAAAGAAGGUGAACUAUGCUUGUAUAGGGUGAAGCCAGAGGAAA